rnacentral:rRNA from 1 species
AUUGAACGCUGGCGGAAUGCUUUACACAUGCAAGUCGAACGGUAGAGGGGGCAACCCCUUGAGAGUGGCGAACGGGUGAGUAAUAUAUCGGAACGUGCCCAGUCGUGGGGAUAACGUAGCGAAAGUUACGCUAAUACCGCAUACGAUCUAAGGAUGAAAGCGGGGGAUCGCAAGACCUCGCGCGAUUGGAGCGGCCGAUAUCAGAUUAGGUAGUUGGUGAGGUAAAGGCUCACCAAGACAAUGAUCUGUAGCUGGUCUGAGAGGACGACCAGCCACACUGGGACUGAGACACGGCCCAGACUCCUACGGGAGGCAGCAGUGGGGAAUUUUGGACAAUGGGCGCAAGCCUGAUCCAGCAAUGCCGCGUGCAGGAUGAAGGCCUUCGGUUGUAACUAGCUUUGUUACGGAACGAACGGUGAGCUCUAAUACAGUUGCUAAUGACGGUACCGUAAGAAUAAGAC